AAGUGAAUGAAGAAGUGUUCAGAGUUAGUGGUCAUCAUUGGUUUGAGUGGAGAAACAUGAAGAUUCAGUGGUUAUCAGUGGUUGUGAGUGAAGAAGUGUGUGAAGUGUCAGAGACAUUAGUGGUUUUCAAGGAUGUGAGUGCAGAAGUCAGAGGAGUUAGAGGCAUUUUUUGUGUGGAAAUUGACUUGUGAUACUCAAAGGAGUAGGGAUUAAUUUUCAAGGAAAGCAAGGAGAAUACUUGUUAGCAUCUUUGAAGAUUUCAAGGAGAAUGCACAUACUGAAGAAGUAAAUGAAGAGGCAAGGAAAGUGUGAGACCAGUCAAAUACAUCAGGAGGAUGUUAAUGAAAUCGAAAAUGGUGUGAUGAAAAUGCAAGUUUGAGUUGAGGACAAAGAGAUGUCACAACAUGAUUAAGUCAACUAGAAAAUGGUGGUAUCUUAGUAGUCUAUGAAAUAUGAGUAGAGGUUUUUUUCAAAAAGGGUAUAUACAUUUCAUGAAGAUCAUAGGAUGAUAAAAAGGAGUUUUGAUUGGGUGAAUUUUUUUUUGUGACGCUGUAAAAUGAUGAUAAGAAAUGGUGGUAGGAAGUAGGUAAACAGAUUAAUAAAAAUUGGAUAAGUAAAGAAGAAGUGCUUGGAAAGGAGGGCUUGCAAGAGGAGUAGCGAAGUAAAGAUAUAUCUGGGGAAAUCAAUAAGUAUAACUUUAGGGAGGAGAGAAACACUGCAAAAUUUAGAAACAAAAAUAAGCUUAACGAGAAAAGAUCGUAAAUAAUGUGCAGAA
rnacentral:lncRNA from 1 species